AGUAGAUGCUCCUUUAAAGCCAGCAAUUCCGUAUUUGGAGAUCCAUGUAAAGGAACCUACAAAUACCUAAGAGUGAAGUUUUAUUGCAAAAAGAGACGCUUUCGCGGAAGAGAUCUGUAUGAGGAAAUCGGAAGAGGUCUGAAUGAGGAAGACCAAAGAGAGAUUGAAGACAUGAGGAGGCCAGGAUAGAUGAAGAUAUGGAGUAACUAAGAAACUCAAGUCUGAAAUUGUGUUCUUAGUGUCACUACAUUAAAACAAGUACUGAGAACA